rnacentral:rRNA from 1 species
CAGCAGCCGCGGGAAUACGAAGGGUGCAAGCGUUACUCGGAAUUACUGGGCGUAAAGCGUGCGUAGGUGGUGGUUUAAGUCCGUUGUGAAAGCCCUGGGCUCAACCUGGGAAUUGCAGUGGAUACUGGAUCACUAGAGUGUGGUAGAGGAUAGUGGAAUUUCCGGUGUAGCAGUGAAAUGCGUAGAGAUCGGAAGGAACAUCUGUGGCGAAGGCGACUAUCUGGGCCAACACUGACACUGAGGCACGAAAGCGUGGGGAGCAAACAGGAUUAGAUACCCCUGUAGUCCCUGUCUCUUAUAC